CCCUCCCGCUCCGCGCGGCCUUCUGGGAGUUGUAGUCGGGCGGAGGGAUCCGGCUCGCGCAGAGCCGCGUCGCUCACAGUGCGCGAACUACAAGGCUGGCGGCGAGGAGUUCCGCCUCUUUGACAGGCUCCCAGACGCCCCCGCGCCUUGCGCCCCUACCGCCGGGUCCGCAGCUCGGCCCGGCCCCCAGGAUGAGCCAGGCGGCCGCCGGGGCUCUGGCCCGCUAGGAAAGGCCCGGUGACCUUGGCCCGGCUCCGGGUUCGAAUCCGCCUCCUCCGCUAGCUGGCUCUGUGACCUUGGGCCUGGCCCCUCGCCCGAGUCCAGGUGACUCCGUGGGACGAGGAUGACCCGCCUCGUACGCUGGGCGGGUUCCAGAGGGCUCUGGGCCCGGCCGCCGCCUGGUCGGGGUCCGCCCUGGGCGAUGGGGCGGCUGCAGGCCGGCACACCUGGCCUGUAGCUUGGAACGCCUGCCCUAGAGGCGCCCUUCCAAAGGACGCUCUCUCCCUGCGGCCCCCUGCAGCCGUCGCCUGGGCUCCUGGUGCCUUGCGACCCUGCAAGGUCCCGGGGCCGUCCAGCCAUUUCUCACAACCUCUCAUUCACCCACCGCGAACCCCGUCAGACCCUCCCAGGCCUUCCAGCGGGGCUGCUGCGCCCGGACCUUCCUCCUUGCUGGGCGCUUUGCCCAUCAUCAGCAAGCCCCAGAGAUGCAGAGGAGCUCGGCACUAGGAUGUAUGCCGCCGCCUUCUCAUCCUCUGACCCGUUCUUCAUGCCGCAAACGGAUGAGCGAAUAUGAUCAGAUCAACCCUCUACUUAAAGGCUUUCAGACUCCACAUUGUGUGGGCGGAAUAAAGACCCGUCACCCCUCCUGGAGGACUUUGAAUGACCCUGCUGCUGAAGGUGGAGUUUGAGAGGGUGGGUGGGGAUGCCUGUCCUGGCACCCCCCCUGGGUGGGCAGUGUUUUGGGCUGCCUCCCUCCCCACACAGGCUGAGUCAGACACUCCCUGCUCCCGCAGCCCCUGUGCUUUCUCUUGUCAGAGCACACUGUGCUGGACUGGGAUUCUUGGUAUUCACCAGUAUUCCCAGAAACAUGAAGUCAGGGGAUAAAACAUGGGAGUGUCUACCUCCUGCACCUCUGAACCCCAGCUCCUGCCAGGCAAGGGCUGGGCGCAUACCAGUAUUUGCUGGAUGGAUGAAUGACGUAAUAACGACCACUUGUCAACCAAUUAUGCACCAGCCCUCUGCCUGCUGCUAAAUCAUCUCAUUUAAUCCACACAGCCAUUCUCAAGAUAGGCACCAACAGCCAACAGGUGAGAAACUGUAAGUUUGUACUUGGUGAGGGCUUUGCCCAGACUCACCCAGAUAGUCAGAGGCAGAGCCCAGAUUUCAACUCAGGUGUGGCUGCAGUGAGACUUUCGGGUUCCAGCAGAGCACAUCGUGAAUCGAUCGGGAGUUCCUCAGGUGGCUGGAGACAGGGGAACCCUCUCUGAGGAGGUGAGCCAGCGCCAGUCACUGUCAGAGCAAAAAACUUUCAGAAAUUCAAGACCCUGGAGCAGGGGAAAGCUCAGCAAAUCCCAGGAACCAACAGCAGCCGUCACGACUGGAGCGAAUGGAAGUGGCAGAAGCCAUAUCCUCCAUGUAUGUUGGGUUCUAUUCUAAAUCAGCUGGGAGCCCUGGAGGGUUUUGAGUAGGGACUUUCAUGGCAGGUUGUACAUUUUUGAGAAAACCCUGGCUGUUAUGUUGAGAGUGGAUAUCAGGGGAGCAAGAUUAGAAGCUGGGACACUUAUGACAGCCUCACAGGGUGUGGAGAGGGUGCUCCUAGCAGACAGAAGUUAGGAAGAAAAGGCAUAAAGCAGUGGUUCCCAACCUUUGCUUUUCAUCAUCUCCUAAGGAAAAAUUAAUAAGAAAUUAAGGAGAGAAUACUAAGGAGUAAGAUUUUGUCUGGCAGGGUUGAACUUUGGAGGGCCACAAACCAUUGCAAUAUCUACAGGUCUGUUUCUCCCCUUAAGAGUCAAUUUUCACCCCUUUGAGGAAUGUGUCAGUCAGUGUUCUCCAGAGAAACAGCUCCAAUGGGAGAUACCUAUCUAUCUAUAGAUUUAGAUAGAUAGAUAGAUAGAUAAAUAUAUAUACCUAUUUAUUUGAAGGACCUGGCUCACACAGUGACGGAAGCUGACACGUCCCAAGACCUGCAGUCAGCAAGCUGGAAACCUCAGAGAGCCCGUGGUGUAGUCAAGUCUGCGGGCCUGAGACCCAGGAGGGCUGAUGGUGGUAUUCUAGGCCAAAGUCAGCAGGCUUGAGAACCAAGAAGGUAGGAAAAAAAUAACUGAUUCAGCUUGGAGGCACUCAGGCAGCAGGAGUUGCCUUUUUGUUCUAUUCAGGCCUUCAACUGCUUGGAUAGGGAGGGCAGCCUGCUUCACUCAGUCCACCAAUUCCAGGGCUAAUCCCACCUGGAAACACCCUCAGCAGACACAUCCAGAGUCAUGUUUGACCGAAUGUCUGGCCGCCCUAUGGCCCAGCCAAGCUGACCUAAAAUAACCGUCGCAAGGGAGAUGCAGGACUUAGGGCCAGAAAGGUCUUUGUAUCCUCGUAACAGUGACGGCAGCUCAGUCUGGCGGGAGCACAGCCGUCAUAGGAAGGGGAGGAGUCAGGCAUGGAGAUGCCACUCCAAGCACCUCGUGGUCCUGGAAGGCUCUCAGAACCACUUUCAGGGAAGGGUGGCAUAUGCUGGGUGUUUCUGUAAAAGUGAAGUUUUAUCACUUUCAUGUGCAGUAAAUAUUAAUCAGAUAUGAAUAUGUACUGGUAACAAGGCAAUUGUAUAAGAAAAAUCAGGGAAGUUCAUGAUCUCACAAUUCAUAACCAGUGAGCAUUACAUAAUAAUGAACCUAGAUAGCCUUUUCUAAUUUCUGACUUUGUUAAGUCUGCAGAAAUGACAGUUGGACACCCCUUCUCAAGCCAUUUCCAUGCCCCAAGCAGCCCCAAGCAAAACUCCAGCAGCAGGCUUCCCCAACCCACCCCACCCCAGCAGAGCACAGAGAAUUCUCUGCAGAAACUACAAUGUGAGAAUGGAUAUGGCCAUAUUCAUGUUUGGGGAUCCCAAAGAGUCAGGCAGCUGUUCAUGCACACCCAAAAUUGAAGCCCUCAGGUCAGAAGCUCUGCUCUGUGGAGCUUCUGAUCAGCCUCUAAGCACGUCACUUGUAGACAUGAAGGAAAAGUCAAGGAUCACCAGUCAUUUAAGAAAUGGCUCAAGUGCAGAUAUAAAAACGUGUGUGUGAAGGGGAGCAGGCAAAGAAGCUGUUAAUGGAAGGAAUCAAAACAUUUCUCAAAAACUGCUAAUAGCCUCAGGGACGUUUAAGAAAGGAGUCUUGAAAUUAAAAAUACACCCAAAUUGUAAAAAAAAUUCAAUAGAAGGGUUGCAAGAUAAAGUUAAGGAAAUUAUUCAGUAAGUAGAACAAAAAGACACAGAAAAUCAGAGAGAAAUGAGACUUAAAAUCUCAAUCCAUGAGGUCCAACUACUUUCCAAUACGAACUCUACGGGAAAAAAUGGAGGGAAGUAGCUUUUGAAAGAAAUACAAUUUAUCAGAAGUAAGGACUUGAAUGUCCAGAUUGAAAGAGUCCACCAACGAUGGUGACUGACUGGAGGGAACCAGAGGUAAACAGCCUAAAACAUUCAGAGAGAAAAAAGGAAAUCACAUCUGAAAAAAAAAAAAAAAGGCAGGAACACGAAUCUCACUGAGCAAUAAUGCUCAUGACAUUCAGUGCCAAGUAGUGGAGGAGCCCUUUACAAUUCUGAAAGAAAAUCACAUACAAGGUAGAAUUGUAUAGUCAGCCAAACUGUCGAUCAUGUAUGGAGACAAAAAAAACCAAUUUUGGACAUUCAAAUUAUCUUUUUCAGGUAAACAGACUAACAUAGUAACAAAAAACCCCUAAAAUACCAGUAGAUGUAUUUCUCACAAAGGCUGUUAAGUAUCUCCCCUCCAUCUUAUAACUGAGAUGAGGACUCACCAGGGUCAUGAACUCCGGUGCUCAGUGCGAAGCCCUUAAUGGUGUCCUAAGGGUUGGGAGUGAACCGGCAGUGGACAGAACCCGACCCACCUGCAACGCAGCCUUCACGUAGCUCAGACCAGAUUAAGGUGAGGAGCACCGGCUCCACUUGCAGGGUAGAGGAAGACAUCGUCUGUAGCCUCUGCAAUCUUUUAUACACAAGUCAGCUUUCAGUUAAAAUUUUGUAGGCAGGUCAAGACACAGGGCCAUUUUACAGAAAAUAAAAAAGCAGAAGGCUACAAAAGCCCAUAGGUGAGUCACAUAUUGGAGUUAGUAGACAAAGAUAUAUUGUAACAAUAGUUAAUAUGUUUAAGAAAAGAGGAAAAGAUGUAAAAUACAGAUGAAAGAAUGGAGAAUUUCACCCAAGAAUUGAAAUCUAUAAGAAGAUUAACUAGAACUGAAAAAUAAAGUAACUAAAAUUAAGACUUCAAUAAAUUAAUAGGUGAGACAUAGUACAUGAAAGGAUUAAUAAUUAGAAGAAAAUUCAAUAUAAAACAACUAGCACAGAGAGAAAAAAAACUGAUAAAACAGCGAAGAGGACAGAAAACAGAUGACACAGCUUAAAGUUUAACAUGCACGUAACUGGUGUCCCAAAGGCAAGGAGAGAGAAGGCCCCUGGAGCAGAUUCUCCAGAACUGAUAUUUACCCACAGUUCCAGGUCUCUCUGUGAAACUGCAAACAGACCACACCGAAGGGUAAGCACGUCACUGCCCUGCUGCUGAAAACACAAAGACAAAAAGUCAAAGAAGAUAUUCCUGUCUCCAGAGGUACGUGACAGCUGACUGCAACAGCAGUGAAGCUAGGGAGCGAUCGAAUGACAGAGUAAUUGAGGAAAAAACUGCCAACUUCUAAUUUUAAAAAAUCUUAAUGUUUUAUUUAACACAACAUAUUCAAAACAUCAUGACUAAAACAUGUAAUCAAUACACAAUUAUUAACACUUUU